UAGAAACAAAGUUGUGUACUGACUUGACAGAUGGAAGUGAUGGAGAUGAAAUGCGACUUCUUCUAACCAGCUGGCUAAAUCUGGAUUUUGUUGAAGUGUAUUUUGUUCUGUUUUAGCACUUAGAUAAGCAAAUUUUAAUAUUAGACAAAGAUUAUAUUUAGGCCACACCAACUUUGGUGUACAUGGGGAAAGUAAUUGCCCUCCAUAUCUACUGAUUGCUUGUCUUUUAGAGCACCAUGGGAAACUUUUGUGCUUUUUUUAUUGGGUAAUUGUUUGAGUUCAGCUAAAUUGGAAGGUUUUUAAGAUUACUUUAUGUUGAGGUGGAUUUGCUAUUUUGCUAAAGAUUAUUGUCCUGCUGUGUUACUUAAUGUGCUUCAGGUUAAGGUCACAAAUUAAUGAAUAGUUUUUUCAAUCAACAAGUCAUCCUGGUUAUCCUAUUCACAUUGAAAUGCUUGAGUGUCGACAUUAUAUUUUUCUAAUUUGCUAUCUUAGGUUUAUGCCAAAUGUAAUCUUUCAGAAAGUUAAUAUUUUUUCAAAGAGUUUGGGACAAUCAAGUUCUCCUCACCAAUGGUUGCCAUUUUUCUAAUUUGCAUAGAAAUGCCUUUUUAACACUUAAUGACUUUGUUUCUCUUCUGUUAUUGUUUGGGGGAUUUUUUUUCAAUCGCAGUCUGAUGUGUUGCUUUUGAAAUAUUUUAGUCUACUUUGUGUCGUAAAAGAGGUUCUACUGAAGUUAUUUAUUGAUCUAAACCUGCCCGGUUGUAGAUAGGAAAACUGCACCUAAAAAUUGGACCAAUCAAACUUAAUUAAUGUCAGAAUAAGUGGGCGAUUAUAUUUCUACAAAGGUCUGGAUAACUUUUUUGAAACUCUAAAAACGUAUUUAUAGUGGGAAAGCGCUGCUAAAAUGACGAAAUGAAGAAAAUUCAACUGUAAAAGCUUUGAAUUAUGGAUCCGAGACGGUGAGUCGCUGAACUUGAUCCUUUUGUUUAGAUUGUCAAAUAAGAAGGUGGGCUAGGAAAAGGGAAUGAAGCAAAACUGAAUAUUCACAAGAAGAAGACAAAAUUUAAUUUAAAAUUGUUUUCUUCAGGAAAACAAAUGAUCAAUUUGUGAGAAGAAAAAGGUUUCAGGGAGAUAGUUUGAUGAGGUUUACACAGGAGUCAAAGAAAGGGAGGGAGUGAGCGGGGGUAGCAGGUUCAGCGACACAAACAAUGUUACCCUCGCUACAUUUCACAUCAAGCCCAGCAGGCGACAACAAUGGCAUCAGCAAGGCCCUUCCAUCUCUAAACAUUGCCAGAUUUCUCUUUGGCUGUUUUCAGUGUGCAUUACAAUAAAAGGGAGGUUUUUCUGUUUUUUAUUGUGCUCAGCAGGUAACAACUCUUGCAAAUACAAAGGUUGCGGCUGCAGCAACUUGGCAACCAGCUGCCAGUAAAGUACAGUGCUUUGAAAAAGCGUUUCCGAUUGCUUUUGUAUUUGCUUCCUUAUCACAUUUUAGAUAAUCAAGUGCAUUUUAAUGUUACAUUCAGAUGUCCUAACUUAAUACAGAAAGCUCUUUUCAAAUAACGAUUUCCAAUGCAGUUUGAUCAAUUGUUGAAAAUUAUUACCUCCUACAUAAAAUAAAAACUCUUGAAAUUAGCAGCGACCACAAAGUUUUGGCUAAAGUUACCGGUUUCCCAAAGGGACUCUACUGAGAAGCUGGCUCACCAAGUCACGGCCCAGAUUGCUGCUGCUGAUUGCAGGGUUAAAGAGGCCCCAGGUGACCCUCAUGAGGAGGAAAAGGAUGAAGCGCACAAAAGUAGCAAAGGCCACGUAAGCGAACCUGCAGCCGAAUGCCCCACUUCUACUGAGUUCUUGACAGUGCGGAGUUGCUUAUGGAAAUCAAAGGAAAGGACAACCUUUGUGGAGCAUAAAUGCUCCAAAAAGAACUGAAAUGCUAAACAAAAGGAAGACAGAAAACGAACUGAAGAGAUUGAGAUCUCCAGACUAAAUCAGAAAGCUUUCUUGACCACCCACUUCUGUUUUGACUCAUUGGUCACUGUACUGACUGUGACUGUACAUCUUUCCUAUAGAUGUGUUGGCAGAUCGCCCCCACUGCCGUUUUCCUAGUUUAACUCUAUCUGGUUUGAGUUCGUAGGCAGCUCAAACUAGUUACUGAUUAAACUCUGUAUGUUUAACCCACCACUGUCUCACAUUCUUCAGUCAAUGCUUUCCAAAUAGCAAUUACUUCACUGCAUGAUAAUGCUUUGCAUACCAGUCACUACAACUAAUACUGCUAAUACUACUACCACCAGGCCUGAUAACUAGGAGAAGAUUAACUUAUAUUUACCAUUUUGUGCUUGAAUCUUUCUUCUUUCAUAUUCUUCCCCUGCUGUCUCUUCCAUAUUAUUAUUUUUAUUAUUUUUAUUUUACUUCACCAGGGUGCAGAUAAUCCUUCUAUAGAAGGCUAACAGUGACACAAAUCUCCAAAAUUAAUGUUAUUUAAUUCAUUGUUACUAAUACCAAAUCAACCUUCCUUUGAGGCAGCUUAGCUCCGCCCCUUGACAAUUUUUUAAAAAUUCCACUAAAGUGGGCGGAGUCAAGUUACACAAAGGGGCGUGGCUUUAUGCAGGGAUGAGUGGAAGGGGUUAAGCAGAGCAAUGAUCAGAACAAGAGAAAACACUUUUGCAAAUUUAAUGAUUUUGUAACUAUAUUUAUAACUUUUCAGACCCCUCUAGCAACUUUAUUUUCAAAAAAGCGACUAAUGACAAAUGUAUAGACUUUUUUCUCCGUUAUUGGAGACUUUUGAGAUAACAGAUGAAAUGUCUAACACAGUGGAAAGGAGUCCUAUUCCAACCUGUUUUCACAUCUGUAAAUUAAAUACACGUGCAAAACUGAGAAAUGCUAAUUGAUCAAUAAUCACACUCUUACAAUUCCAAUUACUGACCAACCCGGGGCAUCUUUCUGACUGAGAUUCUUUUAUAUUUAAAUGCAGUACUCUAAAAUAGACAUCCACCAAACUGUAACAUUGUAACCAAUAAGAAAUGUUAUUGGUUACAGUUGCAACUGCUGGACUGCAGUUGCAACUAGUCAACCCAAAGAGGGCAGCUCUGAGACAAUUUUAGGUCAAAUGUUGCAGAAUUAAACAAAUUUAGAUGAAAAUGUAACAGAAAAGACAGCAAUUUAUAAAGCUUAUGUAAAAAAAAAAAAGAAAAAAAAAAUGAUUAUUUGGAGUUUUGUUAUUCUUGAAAUAUGCAGCACUAGACACAUUACAAUUUUCACACUGAUGGGCCUUUUUCAUGUAUUAAAUUAUGGCACUUUUGAAUUCCCGUACAGGAUGGUUGAUCAUAACAUUGUGUUAUAUGCUUAGAUUUGGCCGACUUUCCUUUAGCUGUUGAGAUUCAGCAGAUUCUUCAUUUUAUUUAAAUCUGUUCACCUUCAGCUACAGAUCCAAACAUUCAGAUCAUUCAAACAUUUCCUAUUGAACCUGUUCUAAAAACAACUGCCUCUAGUAAAUAUACAAAACAUAUUUUUGACAAAACUGCUGUUUCUGUUAUUAGAACAAAGAACAUAAAGAUGAGAAGCCAGUUAUCCUGGAUCUGGAAUAAUUCAGUUUGUUGCCCCUUUUGGUUGCCAUGACUACUAACAUUACUAAUACUAAUACUAAUACUAAUACCACUUAUGCUGCUUCUGCUACUAUUUCUAAUCAAAAUAAUAAUGAUAAAGAAAAAUAAUGCCAUAGUGUAUGCAAAAAAAAAAUCAAAGAUGUUAAUGGAAAUAUGUGCAUUGCAUGCACUCAAAAGAUAUUUGAUCUUUAAGGUUGUUGUUUUUGUGAAAUAAUUGUUUUUUUCUCUCUUUUAUUUAUUCCUCAAAGGAAAUAUAUCACAAGAAAAUAUAAAGUUUUAAUUCAUUUAAAUUUUGUUUUAACAAUUUGUACCAAAACAAAGAAUCGUUACUCUUACAAUUAUCAGACUGCAUGUCAAUAAUUGAGGUUAGUAAUUUGUUCUGCCUUGUUAAUUGGGAUAGACCAUGCAUUUUUGAUUUGAAUAAAGAAAUGAGAUGCUCACACAGAUUGGGAUGAUGUUUUAAGCUCAGAUUGAUAUGCUUACACUCUUUUAUUUCUCUUAUGAUGAAGCUACUUUCAUCUGGAAGUGGAAAUAUUAAAUAAAUUAAAUUAAAAUCUUUGUGUAAUGAAAGGUAUUUUAGGCAUUUAUUCAGACUGGUAAGUAAAAUAAUCUUAACUGCUGUGACUUCAGGAGGAUCUCACUAUCCUUCAUUCUCCAUGUCAUCUUUUGUGCUGCAACUAUGACUAACUUGAAUAAAAAGUGACAACAGAAUAAAUUGCAGGCCAAUUUUGCUUCUCUUCUAAAAAAAUAUAGAAUAAUUCAUGUAGUUCUGUUACAUUUCUGUUCACAAUAAGGCUGAAAAUAAAUGAAAGAAUUUGGAAAUGCAUAUCAGAAAUCUGCAGUUAAUGCAAAGGCACUGUGAAGAUCUAUGAAAUGUAAAUGUUUACUAUGUUUACUCUGUUCUUUUCCUCUUAUGCCAAAUAAAUUGAUUUUUUGGAGGUGUG